AUUGAACGCUGGCGGCAGGCCUAACACAUGCAAGUCGAGCGAGCGGCGGACGGGUGAGUAAUGUCUGGGAAACUGCCUGAUGGAGGGGGAUAACUACUGGAAACGGUAGCUAAUACCGCAUACCAUCAGAUGUGCCCAGAUGGGAUUAGCUAGUGGGUGGGGUAACGGCUCACCUAGGCGACGAUCCCUAGCUGGGCUGAGAGGAUGACCAGCAACGUUGGAACUGAGACACGGUCCAGCCCCCUGCGGGAGGCAGCGGUGGGGAAUAUGGCACAAUGGGGGCAACCCUGAUGCAGCCAUGCGGCGUGUGUGAAGAAGGCCUUGGGGUUGUAAAGACCUUUCAGCGGGGGGGCUUUCCCGGCAGAAAAAGCACCGGCUAACUCCGUGCCAGCCGCCGCGGUAAUAC
rnacentral:rRNA from 1 species